UAGCUUCUUCCAUGUCUUUAUUAAUUCUUGGUUUUGUUGAUUUCAUUUUUAAAUUAUUGGUGUUUUUCGAGAUCUGGGUUAAAUUAGUUAUGGUUUUUUUUUUCUGUUUAGAUCUUGAAUUAAUUUGAAAUUUGAUUUGGUAUUUUGGCGGCUUGAAUUUCAAUUCAAAAUAUCUGUUUUCUUAAUGUAAAUUUUGUGAUACUUGCACUUGGAUCUGCAAUUGUUUUUCCCCCUGCUAAAUUAUGAAUCCAUCUAUUACAAAUCUGUUUUGCAUUGUUCAUCAAAUAACAUGCACAAGUAAUAUUAUUUGUAUAUAUUUUGAGGAAAAUUAUAAUAUUAUUAUAUAUAAUCAAUGCAAAAUUUUUAAGGCACCUUAUUAAAUACGAAAUUUAUAGGCACGAAACUAAGAAUGAUUGAAGCUUCUGCAAACUUUUUUGUUGUCAACAUGGCGACUUUAGCUUUCUCAGCAUCAAUAAUUACUGAACUGUUAACCUUAAUCUCCUCAAAAUCACAUUCCUUAGCAAGCUUCAUAACUAGCUUAACGACACACUAAUCUCUUAAAAGCAAAGAAUUUAAUUGAAGUUCAUAUUUUUGCAAGUUAAAUUUAGUAGAGUCUGUCGUCAUUCAUUGUGUGGUUAUUUGUGCUUUUCGGCCACUUUAUGUAAUGAACAUUAUAGGACACCUUUAUCCAAUACUGGUUUUUCCUGUCUUUAACUGCUGUUUUUACAUUUUAAACGCCAAAGGGUAAUGACUAAUGACCCUAUAUAUAUGUAUGUAUAACAUAUAUUGAGCUCCUCCUCAGUUUCACAGAAUUUUCCUUUUCACCAAUUUCUGCUAUCUCAAAGUGGUCCAAAACUUGUAGGAUAUGAGUGAAAGAGUGAGGCAAAAAUGUUCACAUAGUGAGGAAAAAUAUCAGACAAACAUUAGUUUGGAGACACUCGAUAGUGGAUGUUUGAAUUCAGCUACAGUUUGUGGAGUUGAUUGGACAACCUUGCCUGAUGAUACAGUUAUUCAACUCUUCUCUUAUUUGAAUUAUCGAGAUCGAGCUAGUUUGGCAUCAACUUGUCGAACAUUUAGGCUCUUAGGUUCUUUGCCAUGUUUAUGGGGGUCACUGGACCUCCGAUCUUACAAAUUUGAUACUGUAGCUGCAGCCUCACUCUCCUUGCGAUGCAAGAAUCUCCAGAGACUUAAAUUUCCUGCAGCAGUCUCAGCAGAUGCAAUAGUUAGUCUUCAAGAAAGGGAACUUCGAGAAAUAAGUGGUGAUUUUUGUCGUGACAUUACCGAUGCUGCACUUUCUGUGUUUGUCAUAAGUUCUUUAAGCACACCUUUAUCCAAUACUGGUUCUGCUGUAAUGAACUGGAUUUUGAGAGUUAGUUGCCUAUUAUUUCCCAUAUACUUUUAA